rnacentral:rRNA from 2 species
GACAAACAGGUCAAGUUAAGUUUAAUUUGGUAAAAAAGGAAGUUAAAUUAAAAUGUAUAAAGAAGAUUAAUUUACUAUGAAGGAGUGGAAUCCGGACAUAGUAAGUUUUACUAGUACUUCUUUUUUUUGAUGCUUCGAAAACUAGCUGAAAGACCGGGAUUAGAUACCCCGUUAUUUUUUUUGUAAAUUUUGAUUGUUAUUAGUUUACCUGAGUAUUACGGGUUGUAAUAUAUUUAUAGUUGUAUAGUUUAAUUAUAGUGUAUUUAAAUACUUAAAACUCAAAAAACUUGGCGGUGCCUUAUUUCCUUCCAGGGGAACCUGUCCUGUAAUCGAUGAUCCGCGAUUAAUCUUACUUUUUUUUGAAUUUAUGUAUGUAGUAUUAUCAGUUUGUAUACCGUCGUCGUCAGAUUACCUUUAAGAGUUAAAAAGUUGUCUUAUAAAUUAAGAAUUAUUUAUAUGUUUGUUAAAACGUAUAUUAAAUUUAAUUUUUGAUGUCAGAUCAAGGUGCAGCUUAUAAAAAAGUAGAGAUGGGUUACAAUGUAAAUUUUAUAUUAUGGAUACUGACUUGAAAUAGUCGGGUGAAAGUGGACUUGGAAGUAAUGAUUUGUAAAUUAAAUUAGUAAGUUUGUGUGAAUAAAGGUACUAAGGCGCGC